AUUGAACGCUGGCGGCAUGCCUUACACAUGCAAGUCGAACGGCAGCACGGGUGCUUGCACCUGGUGGCGAGUGGCGAACGGGUGAGUAAUACAUCGGAACAUGUCCUGUAGUGGGGGAUAGCCCGGCGAAAGCCGGAUUAAUACCGCAUACGAUCUACGGAUGAAAGCGGGGGACCUUCGGGCCUCGCGCUAUCGGGUUGGCCGAUGGCUGAUUAGCUAGUUGGUGGGGUAAAGGCCUACCAAGGCGACGAGCAGUAGCUGGUCUGAGAGGACGACCAGCCACACUGGGACUGAGACACGGCCCAGACUCCUACGGGAGGCAGCAGUGGGGAAUUUUGGACAAUGGGCGAAAGCCUGAUCCAGCAAUGCCGCGUGUGUGAAGAAGGCCUUCGGGUUGUAAAGCACUUUUGUCCGGAAAGAAAUCCUUGGCUCUAAUACAGUCGGGGGAUGACGGUACCGGAAGAAUAAGCACCGGCUAACUACGUG
rnacentral:rRNA from 1 species